GAAACAAUAAAUAUACACAAUGUGGGAAAUAAUAGAGUUACAUGAAUCUAGAAAUCUAGUAUAUACAUAGUUUAAAUGCUCCUUUCUUGGUGCACAAGCUUCAUAUCCAAGUUGGUGUAAGGAGGCAAGGGAGGAAUGUUGCCUAUGAUGAUGAAAAGAAGACACAAUAUAAAAUGUUUUGCUUUCGGUAUGACAUUCUGGUGCAAACUGUGACUAGUAAAAACCUGAUCUUGCAGGGGAACGUGUGCGUGUUCGAAAACGAGGAGGAAUGUUAGGGGUUAUGGAGGUUAUAACCGAUAAACAAAUUUGAUAAGUGAUGAAGAUACAUACAAAAUGGUUCUUUGGAUCUAGGAUUAGAAGCUAGCACAAGGAAUGGAGUACGUGAGAAAAAAGGUCGCAGGUUGAAUGUGGUAGUAGCAAGGAAACAACCAGAUUAGAGCGCAUUUGUGGGCGUUUUUUUAUUUUUCGUGUGUGACAUGUAUUUGUUGGGGAUAUUAUGACAAUCGUUAGAUGCCACCAUUUGAGAGGCAUCAAAUUGUAUUUUGAAAAUAAUAUUUUCUAUAUUUGUAGUGCCGGCUUAUUAUUAAA